rnacentral:rRNA from 1 species
AGAGUUUGAUCCUGGCUCAGAUUGAACGCUGGCGGCAGGCUUAACACAUGCAAGUCGAGCGGAGAUGAGGUGCUUGCACCUUAUCUUAGCGGCGGACGGGUGAGUAAUGCUUAGGAAUCUGCCUAUUAGUGGGGGACAACAUUCCGAAAGGAAUGCUAAUACCGCAUACGUCCUACGGGAGAAAGCAGGGAUCUUCGGACCUUGCGCUAAUAGAUGAGCCUAAGUCGGAUUAGCUAGUUGGUGGGGUAAAGGCCUACCAAGGCGACGAUCUGUAGCGGGUCUGAGAGGAUGAUCCGCCACACUGGGACUGAGACACGGCCCAGACUCCUACGGGAGGCAGCAGUGGGGAAUAUUGGACAAUGGGGGGAACCCUGAUCCAGCCAUGCCGCGUGUGUGAAGAAGGCCUUAUGGUUGUAAAGCACUUUAAGCGAGGAGGAGGCUACUGAGACUAAUACUCUUGGAUAGUGGACGUUACUCGCAGAAUAAGCACCGGCUAACUCUGUGCCAGCAGCCGCGGUAAUACAGAGGGUGCGAGCGUUAAUCGGAUUUACUGGGCGUAAAGCGUGCGUAGGCGGCUUUUUAAGUCGGAUGUGAAAUCCCCGAGCUUAACUUGGGAAUUGCAUUCGAUACUGGGAAGCUAGAGUAUGGGAGAGGAUGGUAGAAUUCCAGGUGUAGCGGUGAAAUGCGUAGAGAUCUGGAGGAAUACCGAUGGCGAAGGCAGCCAUCUGGCCUAAUACUGACGCUGAGGU